AGCUGCCUGGUGAAGAGCUGUCU
rnacentral:miRNA from 1 species